GAAGAAGUAGUAACUCUCGCUAGGGUUCCGUCGCCGCCACCAACAACAACGGUCAAACUCCACAUCCGCCGCCACAACUAGCGUUAGCAUAGCUCUCUGGGGAAAUCACAGACACACAAACACGCAGGAGCUUCAACAAACAGCAGUGAAAGCCCCAUAGAGAUGAGAGUGUAGAGCAAUAAGGCAACGAGAGAAUGCGCGUAGGUCGAGCUGCAGAUCCAUGAAAUGCGGCAGGGGGAAGUGAAGAUCUAGGGGAGUGACGAGUCGUCGUCUCCGGGCGGCGAUUGUAUGCUGCCGGCGGAAGGGGGCGCCGGAAGUUGAGACGGAGAAUGAAGGAAGGAGAUUGUGGGGGAAAAGAGUGUCUGUUGAAAGCGAAGAAGAAAAGAGGGAGUGGAAAAAGGGGGAAAUGGAGAGAAAAGGAAGAAGAGAAGCUUUUAAUGCAGAAGGCGGGAGCAGUGGAGCUGCUUCCGGGAAACGAUGAUGCCCUUGUCUGCUCCUCACGCGUCUGCUCCCACUGUAUACGAGCGUGCCUUCACGCGCACAUUUGAAACCAAACGACCGAAACUGUUCAUGAACUGGACCGAGUCUAGUUUUAAAAUCACCUGUAGGUUUUUCGUUAUAUAUUUAAGAUGUUCGAGCUGAAAAAUUAAAAUUAAAAUUCAUUACGAACCAACACAAAAUUGAUUUAGUAAUUAUCAUCGACGAGCUAAACAAUAUUAAUAAGUUUAAAUUAAAAAAAUAAGUUAUUGUUAAAUUUAUA
rnacentral:lncRNA from 1 species